rnacentral:tRNA from 1 species
CCCCUGGUCGCCUAGUGGUCAGAAUUCUGUACUUUCACUGCUGAAGCCCAGGUUCAAACCCUGACCAGGGGA